GAAGGCAUGAAAGGAAGAGAUACAUGCCUUCUCUUCUGCACCACUAGCUUUUUUGUUGAGAAGAUUGCUAGUUGAUGGAAAUUUGAAAGGUAUAACUCAUGUCAUUGUGGAUGAGAUUCACGAACGCAGAAUGAAUGAAGGACCUCCUUCCUUCGGCUAGAACUGAGGUUGAUUCUGAUGAGUGCAACCCUAGAUUCUGAGCUUUUCUGGCAGGGCUCAGAUAAUUCAUGUUCCAGAUGUUUUGGAAAGUACGGGUUGCAGGUUAACUCCAUACAAUCAGAUUGAUGAAAGUGCAAGGCAUAGUGCUUAAGAUGCAUUUGCUUGUAUGAGAUUAACAUUUUGGCAUAGUGCUUUUUGUAAUCACAAGGCAAAGUAGUAAUUGAAGUGAUUGUAAAAAGCUGGUGGUGGUGGGACUUUGAGUUUGGAAUUUGGAGUGCUCAGCCAAUUGACAAAUGAUCCUACAGAAGUGUUAUGUUCUAUAUUGGGC